GGCACGUGGCUCGGAGACUUGGAAUGUCGUCCUUGAAAAUGCACGUGGCCUAGCUUUUAGAUACUCCUCCGUGGAGAAUGAUUGGUAUGACAUGUAAUCGACUAUGUCGAUUGAUCAUUGUUUUGAUCUGAUGUUGUGAAUUGGUUGAUUGAAUGGGAAUGACCGUGAGUGGUCUUGUUGGCGUGUAAUCGACUAAGUCGAUUGAUCGAUGAUUCGAUCUGAGUGUGAUUUGAUGUGAUUCAUUGCCUUGAUUUUAUGUUGUGAAUUGAUCGAUUGAAUGAAAGUGACCGUGAGUGGUCUUGUUGGCAUGUAAUCGACUCGGUCGAUUUGAUCGAUGCUUCGAUCUGUGAUGUGAUUGCUUGGGUGCCUAUUUGAUCUGUGCUAAUCUGCAGGUGGAAUUUGAGGCCAAGGUAAGUCCUCUGACUCAUGUUGUGCAUAGGCAGCCCUAAGGUGUAUUAGUUUACUAAUCGGGUCUUAGGAGGUAGAACUUGCUGAGACGUGGUCUCAGUGGUUAUUGAAUAACCAUUUCAGGACCUGGAUGAGGAGCCUAAGGAGCAUGAAUCUGAUGAGGAGAUCCCUGUUGAGGAACCUAAAGAGGAGUACGUGGAGGAGGACCCCGAGUAUGACAUCGAGUACGACCCAGAUGAGGACUGAAACCCUGUCCUGUCUUGUCAGACCUUGUUUGCUUGUAAAAAGAUGUAGUUGUGAAUUUUCAGUAAGGAAAAUAUAUGGCCUGCUUUUCUAUCCCAUUGCUUUAUUGUCUGGGGAUU
rnacentral:lncRNA from 1 species